ACCUACGGGUGGCAGCAGUGGGGAAUAUUGCACAAUGGGGGAAACCCUGAUGCAGCCAUGCCGCGUGUGUGAAGAAGGCCUUCGGGUUGUAAAGCACUUUCAGCGAGGAGGAAAGGUCAGUAGCUAAUAUCUGCUGGCUGUGACGUUACUCGCAGAAGAAGCACCGGCUAACUCCGUGCCAGCAGCCGCGGUAAUACGGAGGGUGCAAGCGUUAAUCGGAAUUACGGGGCGUAAAGCGCACGCAGGCGGUUGGAUAAUUGAGAGGUAAAAGCCCCGGGCUCAACCUGGGAAUUGCAUUUAAAACUGUCCAGCUAGAGUAUUGUAGAGGGAGGUAGAAUUCCAGGUGUAGCGGUGAAAUGCGUAGAGAUCUGGAGGAAUACCGGUGGCGAAGGCGGCCCCAUGGACAAAGACUGACGCUCAGGUGCGAAAGCGUGGGGAGCAAACAGGAUUAGAUACCCGUGUAGUC
rnacentral:rRNA from 1 species